UUGGAGGGCAAGUCUGGUGCCAGCAGCCGCGGUAAUUCCAGCUCCAAUAGCGUAUAUUAAAGUUGUUGCAGUUAAAAAGCUCGUAGUUGAAUUUCGGGAUUGACGUGAUGGUCAUGCCUUAAGGGGUAUGAACUGUUGCAGUUGAUUUCUCACCUUCUGGAGAAACUUGAUGUCCUUUAUUGGGUGUCUUGCGGAUCCAGGACCUUUACCUUGAAAAAAUUAGAGUGUUUAAAGCAGGCAUUUUUGCUCGAAUACAUUAGCAUGGAAUAAUAGAAUAGGACGGCAUGGUUCUAUUUUGUUGGUUUCUAGGAUCACCGUAAUGAUUAAUAGGGAUAGUUGGGGGCAUUAGUAUUCAAUUGUCAGAGGUGAAAUUCUUGGAUUUAUUGAAGACUAACUACUGCGAAGGCAUUUGCCGAGGAUGUUUUCAUUAAUCAAGAACGAAAGUUAGGGGAUCGAAGACGAUCAGAUACCGUCGUAGUCUUAACCAUAAACUAUGCCGACUAGGAAUCAGACGAUGUUAAUUUUUUAAUGACUCGUUUGGCACCUUACGGGAAACCAAAGUGUUUGGGUUC
rnacentral:rRNA from 1 species